CAGCCGCCGCGGUAAUACGAAGGGUGCAAGCGUUAAUCGGAAUUACUGGGCGUAAAGCGUGCGUAGGCGGUGAGUUAAGUCUGCUGUGAAAUCCCCGGGCUCAACCUGGGAAUGGCAGUGGAUACUGGCUCGCUAGAGUGUGUCAGAGGAUGGUGGAAUUCCCGGUGUAGCGGUGAAAUGCGUAGAGAUCGGGAGGAACAUCAGUGGCGAAGGCGGCCAUCUGGGACAACACUGACGCUGAGGCACGAAAGCGUGGGGAGCAAACAGGAUUAGAUACCCGGGUAGUCCCUGUCUCUUAUAC
rnacentral:rRNA from 1 species